UAGAAAAUGGUGUAGAGGGAGCACAUGAAGUUUUGAUCUUCAGGGGAAGGGUUCAAUUCCCUUUUUUCUAA
rnacentral:tRNA from 2 species